AACCCACUCCAGUAUUCUUGCCUGGAGAAUCCCAUGGAUGAAGGAGCCUGGUGGGCUACAGUCCACGGGGUCGCAAAGAGUCAGACAUGACUGAACGACUUCACUUCCCAUGUGUAAAAUGGGGUUGACACCCUCUCCCUCCCAGAGCCUUUGUGAAGAAUGAAGGAGAUGAUCUCGGGGAGAGACAAGGAAACUCCCAGACGGACUUGGAGGGAAUGGUGCUGAGUCUGUGCGAGUUCCUAUGCUUAGCCUCACUUCCAUUCCAAGAGCUUCCUUGAGGGAACUGGAGUUAAAUGGUUUGGCAUUUUUAAAUGGCUGACCCGUCAAACAAAGUGACAGGCGCUCUAAGUGGAAGCGGAGGUGUGGGGGGAGGCAGUGGCUGCCAGGUUUCUUGCUCUGAGAGCCCUUCCUUCACCCGUCUCACCUUAAAGAAAGAAUCUCCGGGCUGUCUGUCCCUUCUUCCCACCUCAACCUCCCCUCAGCCAGAGACCUGUGUCCCCACUGAAGGGCAGGAGUCAUCCAUGCCUGGAGGAAAAUUUUCUCCUAUCAGUCCUGAUGGAAGUCAAGGCUAAAGCCCCCAUGAGAGAAAGGCUGAGGCUGGGCAGCAAGGCAGAGGGACCCGAAAAUAUAAAUCAAUAUGUGACUUUAAUAUAUGUGCUCUCGGUGUCUGUGUGUGCUGGGGGAUUAUUAGUAACCUUGAUUCCAGCUCAGUGUCCAUGUGAGGCGGGGAGACGCACGGCCCCCAGGGAGGAGAAGAGAAAUUAGGAAGCCAAAUUCUUCUCCUGAUUGACACCUGGGUAAACAUUAUCCCCGGCAGAAGGAGAAGAAAAAAAGAUCAAUGCUGGGUAUUUUUAUCACGUUCCAGGACGGACAGGGAGGGAAAUUAAAGAAACAGUCCCCUAGCCUCAUUGAAUGUGCUCAUCUCCAAGGAGGAAGCAAAAAGGGUGGAAGCCAGGUGGGGAGGGCGAGGGGAACUGACAGUGGGUGCAUCCCAGGGGGCGUGGCCAUUGCUUCUCUCACCCUGGGGCACUUAUGUGAGUGGCAGCAGGUACAAAGGAGUCAGCCCGUUAAUGCCAGGGCAAAGGCAUCAGCUUUGAUGGGGGAAUCAUAGGCCAUGAAGUCUAACAUGAGAUCAGACUCUGGCUUCAACGGAGGGCCAAGAGGCAUUAGUCUUAAUGGGGUUGUUGGGGAUAUUUCUAGCAGGAGCUUUCCAGAGCAUGGAGGGGGAGAGUGGCUUCAGUGGGGGCUGGGGGGAGUGAGUGGCCCAGAAGUGGUCAGCACCAACAGGGAGAGAAAGAGGCAUCUCUCUGGUUGUUGUUCAGUUGCUCAGUCCUGUCCGACUCUUUGCGACCCCAUGGACUGCAGCACACUAGGCUUCCCUGCCCUUCAUCAUCUCCUGGAGUUUACUCAAGCUCAUGUCCAUUGAGUCGGUGAUGCCAUCCAACCAACUCAACCUUUGUCAUCCCCUUCUCCUCCUGCCUUCAGUCUUUCCCAGCAUCAGAGUCUUUUCCAAUGAGUCCAAUCUGGAUUGUCUUGGAAAGUGGGUCUCUGUUCUACAGACAGGAAAACCUGGCCUCCAUCCCUUUGUUUCUGGCCUCCACCUCCUCCUGGUUAUAUGACCUUGACUAAGUCAUUUGACCUC